rnacentral:rRNA from 1 species
CGGGGUGCACCAGGCGCGAAACCUCUGCAAUAGGCGAAAGCCUGACAGGGUUACUCUGAGUGAUUCCCGCUAAGGGGAUCUUUUGGCACCUCUAAAAAUGGUGCAGAAUAAGGGGUGGGCAAGCCUGGUGUCAGCCGCCGCGGUAAUACCAGCACCCCGAGUGGUCGGGACGAUUAUUGGGCCUAAAGCAUCCGUAGCCGGCCACGCAAGUCCUCCGUUAAAUCCACCCGCUCAACGGUUGGGCUGCGGAGGAUACUACGUGGCUAGGAGGCGGGAGAGGCAAGCGGUACUCAAUGGGUAGGGGUAAAAUCCUUUGAUCCAUUGAAGACCACCAGUGGCGAAGGCGGCUUGCCAGAACGCGCUCGACGGUGAGGGAUGAAAGCUGGGGGAGCAAACCGGAUUAGAUACCCGGGUAGUCCCAGCUGUAAACGAUGCAGACUCGGUGAUGGGAUAGCCUCGAGCCAUCCCAGUGCCGCAGGGAAGCCGUUAAGUCUGCCGCCUGGGGAGUACGGUCGCAAGACUGAAACUUAAAGGAAUUGGCGGGGAGCACAAGGGCGAUUCGCGG